rnacentral:rRNA from 1 species
AGUGAACGCUGGCGGUAGGCCUAACACAUGCAAGUCGAACGGCAGCACAGUAAGAGCUUGCUCUUACGGGUGGCGAGUGGCGGACGGGUGAGGAAUACAUCGGAAUCUACUUUUUCGUGGGGGAUAACGUAGGGAAACUUACGCUAAUACCGCAUACGACCUACGGGUGAAAGCAGGGGAUCUUCGGACCUUGCGCGAUUGAAUGAGCCGAUGUCGGAUUAGCUAGUUGGCGGGGUAAAGGCCCACCAAGGCGACGAUCCGUAGCUGGUCUGAGAGGAUGAUCAGCCACACUGGAGCUGAGACACGGUCCAGACUCCUACGGGAGGCAGCAGUGGGGAAUAUUAGACAAUGGGCGCAAGCCUGGUCCAGCCAUACCGCGUGGGUGAAGAAGGCCUUCGGGUUGUAAAGCCCUUUUGUUGGGAAAGAAAAGCAGCAGGUUAAUACCCCGCUGUUCUGACGGUACCCGAAGAAUAAGCACCGGCUAACUUCGUG